UGAGGAAUAUUGCACAAUGGGGGAAACCCUGAUGCAGCCAUGCCGCGUGUGUGAUGAAGGCCCUAGGGUUGUAAAGCACUUUCAAUGGUGAAGAUAAUGACGGUAACCAUAGAAGAAGCCCCGGCUAACUUCGUGCCAGCAGCCGCGGUAAUACGAAGGGGGCUAGCGUUGUUCGGAAUCACUGGGCGUAAAGCGCGUGUAGGCGGCUAAGUAAGUCAGAGGUGAAAGCCCAGGGCUCAACCCUGGAAUUGCCUUUGAAACUACUUAGCUCGAGUAUCGGAGAGGACAGUGGAAUUUCUAAUGUAGGGGUGAAAUCCGUAGAUAUUAGAAGGAACACCAGUGGCGAAGGCGGCUGUCUGGACGAUUACUGACGCUGAGACGCGAAAGCGUGGGGAGCAAACAGG
rnacentral:rRNA from 1 species